ACGCGACGCCCGGCGUCGAGUUUCCUCGUAGCGGGCGGGGCUGUUACACUCUCAGUGCGCUCCACGACGCCGAACUGACCACGUACAACGUGUGACGUCUCGACCCCACGACCUUCCUCUCCUUCUCUCUCUUUCUUCCAAGACGACGACGACGGCAACAGGGACGAGGACGAGGACGAGGACGAAAACGACGGCGACAGGAUCUCGGCGUCGUCGAACACGAUCGCGCGAGUUGGGCCCGACACGGUGCUCGCGAGCGUUCGGGGAUCGUGAGGACUCUCGUCGCGAGUUAACAAGUGCUGGGAAUGAUAAGGGAGCGUGAUAGAGAAGGGAGAGAAUUGGCGACAGUGCUUAUAUCGGGGUGAAGCGGGAUCGAAGAGGUAACGGGAUCGGUUGUUAAUUGGCGAAUGAGAGCGGCGGCGUUCACGAGAGAGACACCUUCUGCAAGGUGACGAAGAUUAAAGAGGAUCGAUAUCUAUAAUCUGAGAUAUAUCGAGGUGUCUGUAAUAUAUCUCGAUCGGCCACAUCGGAGGAAUAAUUGCAAAUUAAUAAGCGAUCGUGAGCGCUCGUGAUUAAAAUUCCUGUGAAAAGUGAUCGUCGCGCGUGUUCCUUUCAUUGUCGUUCUCAAGAGGAGGAGAUACUUGGAUCGAGCAUCGACAACUUCGAUUAGCACCGUUGCCAGAACCGUCGGAGAUCCGCCCUCGCCGAAUCGUCCGUCCACCAUCCCUUGUCCGCAGAGCGGCGCAGCGCUGGAACAUCGCGACGAAGGGAGCGCGCGUCUCCCCCGUCCUCCGGCGUUCGCCAUAAGCGAACGUCCAACAUAAAUCCUCGACAUCGCGU